GGCUCUGUAGUGAAGUUCAUGGUGAGUUGCAAGCUCAUUGAUGUGUACUAGUUGUACACCGGAGCCU
rnacentral:tRNA from 1 species